UGCUAUUGAGCUUGGAGUAGCUGAUGCCAUUCAAAAUCAUCAUAGCCCUAUCACCCUGUAUGAGCUAUCAAACAAGCUUGGAUGUGCUCCAUCCCCUCUUCAUCGGAUCAUGAGGUUCUUGGUUCAUAACAAUAUUUUCAAACAGAAACCCAUUGUGGAUGGCACUAUUGGCUAUGUGCAAACACCUCUUUCUCGCCGUUUGCUCGGCCGGGGAGAGAACAGCAUGGAAUCUCUGUUUUUGCUGGAAAGCAGCCCGGUGAUGCUUAAGCCAUGGCUUUUUCUAAGCGAUCGUGUCCGACUGGACGGAAAUACUGCAGCGUUUGAGGCGGCUCACGGCGACGACUUAUGGAAAUAUGCAGCUGUAAAUCCUGAUCAUAGCAAGCUAAUUGACGAUGCAAUG
rnacentral:misc_RNA from 1 species